GGACUCUUAUCAGGAUGGAAAUAACUCUGCAAGGAAUGGUUUCUUCCUCUGCCAACCAGAGUUAUCUCAUUUGAGCUGAGGAAGUCAAAAGGUCAACACGGAAGCCCUACAGCAUGAGACAGUUUGGGAAAUGUGAACAGCAUCAGCUACUUGUGCAGCAUCCACCUUCCAUUACAACUUUGUCAUUCUCUUCUCCUACCUACUCAUAAAGGAAUGGCUUUGUAGUAAUAGUAAUUGCAAUCCAGUCACACAAAAGGCCACAUCUGGGAGACUAUUACCACGGAGGCCAGGAAGAGGAGCGGUCCCACUGGCCUAUAGGGUUCAGGUGCAGGAUUCCCUCCAGGGCAAUGCUCCUCUGGACCGCAGACUACACCUGCCUGGAACACGCUGGAAGCUUGUCAGAAUCACAGUGAUGCCCUUCUGUUUCCUCGCCAGCCUUUCACCAAGACUUGGGUGAUCGAUGGGCGACACCACGUUGAUCAUUUUAGCCAUGCGUCCAGACCAUUUCACAGGACACAGAAAGAUACAUGUCCUCCAUCAGCACUGAAAGAGACCUCCUCGGAAAGAAUUUGUUUUGUCAUACAAGACAAAUGAAUUCUGGUAACUUAAAGUGAAAAUUUCAUCCCACUGUUAAACUGAACCUCAAAUAAAAUGCUGCUUAUAACAUCUAAGAUAUCUUUGCCCUCAAUUUGGUCACUUAGAAGCAGUGUGGAAUAGUUGAAAUAACAUGGCUCCAACAAUGCUG
rnacentral:lncRNA from 1 species